rnacentral:lncRNA from 1 species
AUGGUUCCUGCGCUUUCCUUACUACAGAAGGGAGUGGAGGCAGACGAGAAAGCAUGUGAAUUCUAUCCAUUGAUCACCGGGGGAUACGGUUUCACGGGCGAGCGAGCGAGCGAGCGGAGGGCCCCGGGGUUCUCUUCAGCAGCAGCUCCUCCUCUCGCGUCCAGAGCCCUGGAGGCCUGGUGCGCGGUGCCGCUGUUGCCCAGGCCACUUCAGCCACGGGACCUGUGCACGGGCUGGGUUUGCACAAGCUCCCACAAAACAAAUCUUCCCUGCCAUCUUUCUCUCCCAUUGCACGAGGAACUUCCCGGUGCAAUAAGGCGUCAGACUUCAGCAGGGCUGGCCCGCCUUCGCCGGAAGCGCUUAACCCCGCACCUGACCCAGACUGCGGCCCGGCCCGCAGCCUCCCGGCCGCUAACUCGCCGUCCUGCAACUCCCGCCCGCGGGAGCUGCGCCCCGGGUGCGGGCGGUCCCCGGGGCCGAGACCACUCCCUUCCGGAGCCGCCGCGCCGCCCGCCCUUCAGGGAGGGGCGUGCACCGCCAGGCCGGCCGCGGCGCCGCUCGGCGCGGGGACUUCAAACCCGGGCGCGGGAGCGCGGGAGGGGCGCGGGAGGGGCGCGGGAGGGGCGCGGGAGCCGCAGCCACCCUCGCCGCUCGCCCGCGCGGCCCCGAGAGGAAACGGGCGGUGCCGCCCGGGUCGCCCCCUUCCCCGCCCCUCCUCCCGCCCCAACGGGCCGCGGACCUGACUUCCCCAAACUCCGCAGAGGGAAGCCCUGCCCGGGCCGGCACCUCGGGGCGGCGCGCGCCGGGGACGGAAGUGGGGGGAGCCGUGGCCGCGCCGCGCCUUUGUUAGGGCUCGGGACCCCGCGGGCCCCGGCGAGCACCCCGCCGCCGCCGCCGCCGCCGCCCGGGACGGGACAGGACGGGACGGGACGCGGCGGGAAGGGGCGGGAAGGGGCGGGGCGGCCCGGGGCCGGAGUGGCGGCGGCCCCGAGGAGGGCGCGCGGCGGCGCGUCCCGGGGUCCGCCUGCCCCGGGGCCGCCGCGCCUGGGGACGUUCCUCACCUUCCUGCGCCUCCCCGGGCCGCGGGCUGGCCCAAGCGCGGCUUCCCGCGGGACAGCGGCGGGCGGCCCCAGCUUCUCGGCAGCGCCACGGCCACUCCCCGCCUCGCUGAGGCGAGAGAGCGCUGGUCCCUCCUCGCGGGAUGAUUCACUGCGCUCCUUACCUGGAGGCUCCAACAAGUCCCCUCCCCUCCCCUCCCCUCCCCUGCGCCGGCCCGCGCGGCGGUCGGAAGCGGGCGCCCUCUGCCGGGCCACCCGCGGGAUCACCGCAGGGCCGGGGCGCGGAGCCGGGCCGAGCGCCGGACCCUGGGGCCCCCCGCGCGCGGGAGCGGCGCCCACCCGUCGCCGGGGGCAGUGCCCAGCGUGCAGGGCCAUCGUGGCCGCCGAGUCCGCGCUGGGCAGACCCCGGGACAGGACCGGAGGUGGCCCCGCGCCCCCGACCCCUGGGCGCGCCCGGAGCCCCCCGCCCGCGGGCCAGCCCCGCCCCCGCUGUCCCGACGGAACCACCAAGAAUCGCGUCCGCACGCCUGCUUGCAAAACACUGGAAAGGCAGUUUUACCAAGUGAGAACAAAGUUUGUGUCUUCUCUCUCCGCAGCCUCCUUCUGA